GCAACGCGAAGAACCUUACCUGGUCUUGACAUCCCGGAGACCCUUAGGAACUAGGGGUGCUUCCAUCUGGAAGAAUCUGGAGACAGGUGCUGCAUGGCUGUCGUCAGCUCGUGUCGUGAGAUGUUGGGUUAAGUCCCGCAACGAGCGCAACCCUUGCCUUUAGUUGCCAGCAGUUCGGCUGGGCACUCUAAAGGGACUGCCGGUGUUAAACCGGAGGAAGGUGGGGAUGACGUCAAGUCCUCAUGGCCUUUAUGACCAGGGCUACACACGUACUACAAUGGCCGAUACAAAGGGCAGCGACACUGCGAGGUGAAGCCAAUCCCGUAAAAUCGGUCUCAGUCCGGAUUGGAGUCUGCAACUCGACUCCAUGAAGUUGGAAUCGCUAGUAAUCGUGGAUCAGCAUGCCACGGUGAAUACGUUCCCGGGCCUU
rnacentral:rRNA from 1 species